CCUACGGGUGGCAGCAGUGAGGAAUAUUGGUCAAUGGGCGAGAUCCUGAACCAGCCAAGCCGCGUGAGGGAAGACGGCCCUAUGGGUUGUAAACCGCUUUUGUCGGAGAACAAAACCCGGGACGUGUCCCGGACUGCGUGUAUCCGACGAAAAAGCAUCGGCUAACUCCGUGCCAGCAGCCGCGGUAAUACGGAGGAUGCGAGCGUUAUCCGGAUUUAUUGGGUUUAAAGGGUGCGUAGGCGGUCCGUUAAGUCAGCGGGAAAAUUGCGGGGCUCAACCCCGUAGAGCCGUUGAAACUGGUCGGCUAGAGUGGGGUAGAGGUACGCGGAAUGUGUGGUGUAGCGGUGAAAUGCAUAGAGAUCGUGCAGAACACCGAUUGCGAAGGCAGCGUACCGGGGCAAGACUGACGCUGAGGCACGAAAGCGUGGGGAUCGAACAGGAUUAGAUACCCUGGUAGUC
rnacentral:rRNA from 1 species